AGAGUUUGAUCAUGGCUCAGGAUGAACGCUGGCGGAGUGCCUAACACAUGCAAGUCGAGCGGCAGCGCGAGUAGUUUACUACUUGGCGGCGAGCGGCGAACGGCUGAGUAACGCGUGGGAACAUGCCCCAAAGUGAGGAAUAACUGCCCGAAAGGGUAGCUAAUGCCGCAUACGAUCUUCGGAUUAAAGGAUUUAUCCGCUUUGGGAGUGGCCUGCGUACGAUUAGAUAGUUGGUGAGGUAAUGGCUCACCAAGUCUACGAUCGUUAACUGGUUUGAGAGGAUGAUCAGUCAGACUGGAACUGAGACACGGUCCAGACUCCUACGGGAGGCAGCAGUGAGGAAUCUUCCACAAUGGACGAAAGUCUGAUGGAGCAACUCCGCGUGCAGGAUGAAGGCCUUCGGGUCGUAAACUGCUUUAUGAGUGAAGAAUAUGACGGUAACUCAUGAAUAAGGGUCGGCUAACUACGUG
rnacentral:rRNA from 1 species